rnacentral:lncRNA from 10 species
CUCAAAUCGAAAUAACGGCACUUUAAUUCUUGGAUUUUCCACAUUUUCGUUGGUAAAGCUCCUAUUUGCUUUCUCUGAAUCUGUAUCAGUUCAUGCAGUUCUGCCAAGUGGGGAAGCUUUGCAGGACACUGCCACUGUAGCACUUGAAAUAUUAAGAUGAACAGAACAAGCAAAAGGUGGGAAAACUGGAAAGAUUGAAUGUCCUUUGGAGUUCACAGAGGUUUGGCAGUGGGAGGAGAAAAACAAAACGAAGCAUAGUGGGAGUGUUGAACAGACUUUCCCAAGAUCCCCAGGAAAAGCAAAGCUACUAUAAGAACUCACUACAUCAACGCGUAUUCAUUAUUGAGACCAUCCUAGGAGAGCUGCAUCAUCACAGGCUGCUCUGAGGUCUGUGCCCAAUCAAGCAAAGAACAACGGGGACAAUCACACUGUGCAGAGGGUGACCAAUUGAGAAAAAAAGGACUCUUAAGAAGAUCGUCCAACUUCCUUAAAUGACUUUCAUUAAUUUUACACCUUUUGCCAAUUAAUUGCACUUAUGAGCCUUGCUUGUCAAUUACUGCAUUCUCACUUUCAGCAAUUGAACUAAUCUUUGCCUAUUCAUAUUUUGUUUUUUAAAUAGGUAUUUCCAAUUAUUGAUAUAAAUCUUUAUGAUUACAUUACAAAUGUCUGACCAUAUUUAUUCAUUCUUCAUAGAGACAAAAUAAAGUUUCUAUUAUCUACACUUAAAACAUGUUGUACUUUUUUCUUUACAGCACAACUUACAAUAUUGUCUUUAUUUGGUGAUUAUUUUAAAACAAAUAUAUUCCAUUUAAAAUACAAGCUCAAUAACUACAGAUACAUUUAUGUUUGUAUGUAUAUAUAUAUACACACACACACACACGUAUUUUUCUU